rnacentral:lncRNA from 1 species
UCUUUUCCUAUCCCAUCUCUCCUCCAUUCCCUUCAAUCACCUUUGUUUACUCCACUGAUUUUAUUUUAGACUUUUUUUUAACAACCCUCCCGCCCCCACCCCCACCUUAUUUUGGAUUAGCUUCCUCAUAUCAGAGAAAAAAAAUUCAACCUUGGGCUUUUUGGGUCCAGCUUAUUUCACUUAGCAUGAUACUCUGCAGUUCCAUCCAUUCACUUGCAAAUGCUAUAAAGUUAUUCUUUAUAGCUCCAUUGUGUAUAAAUACCACAUUUUCUUAUCCAGGAUGCCUGGGUUGGCUCCAUAGCUUGGCUACUGUGAAUUGUGCUGCUAUAAACAUUGAUGUGGCUGCAUCAAUGCAGAAUACUAUUUUAAAUCCUUUGGACAGAUACUGAGGAGUGGGAUAGCUGGGUCAUAUGGUAGUUCCAUUCCUAGUUUUUUGAUGAAUCCCAUAUUGCUUUCCAGAGUGGCUGCAUCAAUUUGCAAUCCAACCACAAUAUAUGAGUGUAUCCUUCUCUCCACAUUCUUACCAACAUUUAUUGUUAUUUGUAUUCUUAAUAAUUGCCAUUCUGACUGGAGUGAGAUGAAAUCUCUGUGUAGUUUUAAUUUGCAUUUCUCUAAAUGCUAGAGAUGUUGAACAUUAUUUUCAUAUAUUUGUUGACCAUUUGUAUUUCAACUUUUGAGAAGUGUCUGUUGGUUUCCUUUGCCCAUUUUUAAAAAUUAUUUGUAUAUCCUAGAUAUUAGUAUCCUAUCUAAGGAGCAGGUGGCAACGAUUUUUCUCCCAUUCUAUAGGCUCUCUCCUCAUGCUCUUGAUUGUUUCCUUUACUGUGAAGAAGCUUUUUAAUUUGAUGCAAUCCCAUUUAUUCAUUUCUGAUUUUACUUCUUGCACUUUAGGAAUCUUGUUAAUGAAGUCAGUUCCUGAGCUGACAUGAUGGCACAUUGGGCCUAUAUUUUCUUCUAGCAUAUGAAGGAUUUCUGGUCUAAUUUCUCAGUCUUUGAUCCACUUUGAGUUGUUUUAUGCAGGGUGAAAGACUGUGUUUAAAAUUCAUUCUUUUACAUAUGCACUUCCAGUUUUCACAACACCAUUUGUUAAAUAGGCUAUUUUUUCUCUAAUGUAUGUUUUUAGCACCUUUGUCUUGUAUGAGGUAACUGUAUUGAUGUGGGUUUGUCUCUGUGUAUUCUUACUUGGUUCCCUUUGGUUUUCUUGCCUGUUUUGAUGCCAGUACCAAGCUGUUUUUGUUACUAUAGCUCUCUGUUACAAUUUAAGGUCUAGGAUUGUGAUGCCUCCUGCUUCACUUUUCUUUGCUUCAACUAAUCUGGUCUCUUAUUUUUUCCAAAUGAAUUUCAUGACUGCUUUUUCUAUUUUUGUGAAGAACAACAUUGGAAUUUUGAUGGGAAUUGCAUUGAAUCUAUAUUGUGCUUUGGUAGUAUGGCCAUUCUGACAAUACUAAUUCUGCCUAUCCAAGAACACAGGAGGCUUUCUACUUCUAAGGUCUUCUUCCAUUUCUUUCUUUAGUGUUCCACAGUUUUUCAUUUUGGAGGUUCUUUGACUCUUUUAUUAGAUUGAUUUUUGAGGUUUUUCUUUUUA